rnacentral:rRNA from 1 species
ACACUCCUACGGGAGGCAGCAGUGGGGAAUAUUGCACAAUGGGCGCAAGCCUGAUGCAGCCAUGCCGCGUGUAUGAAGAAGGCCUUCGGGUUGUAAAGUACUUUCAGCGGGGAGGAAGGCGAUAAGGUUAAUAACCUUGUUGAUUGACGUUACCCGCAGAAGAAGCACCGGCUAACUCCGUGCCAGCAGCCGCGGUAAUACGGAGGGUGCAAGCGUUAAUCGGAAUUACUGGGCGUAAAGCGCACGCAGGCGGUCUGUCAAGUCGGAUGUGAAAUCCCCGGGCUCAACCUGGGAACUGCAUUCGAAACUGGCAGGCUAGAGUCUUGUAGAGGGGGGUAGAAUUCCAGGUGUAGCGGUGAAAUGCGUAGAGAUCUGGAGGAAUACCGGUGGCGAAGGCGGCCCCCUGGACAAAGACUGACGCUCAGGUGCGAAAGCGUGGGGAGCAAACAGGAUUAGAUACCCCAGUAGUCCCAUGA